CGCACAUUGCGCCCCUUGGCAUUCCGAGGGGCAUGCCUGUUCGAGCGUCAUUAUCACCACUCAAGCUCUGCUUGGUGUUGGGGCGCGCCAGAAAUGGCGGCCCCUAAUUCGAGUGGCGGUGCCGCUGGGUUCCGAGUGUAGUCAAUCAACGCGCUCUGGACCCCGGUGGUGGCCGACCAUCAACCUCAACUCAUCAUAAUUGACCUCGGAUCAGGUAGGAAUACCCGCUGAACUUAA
rnacentral:misc_RNA from 1 species